rnacentral:tRNA from 1 species
UGCCCUGUCGUCUAACCGGUAGGACAUCAGAUUCUGGAUCUGAGUAUCUUGGUUCGAGUCCAAGCGGGGCAGCCA